rnacentral:rRNA from 1 species
AGAUUGAACGCUGGCGGCAUGCCUAACACAUGCAAGUCGAACGGGAGUAGCAAUACUCUAGUGGCGGACGGGUGAGGAAUACGUAGGAAUUUGCCCUUAAGUGGGGGAUAACCCGGGGAAACCCGGAUUAAUACCGCAUGACCUCGAAGAGCAAAGUGGGGGAUCGCAAGACCUCACGCUUUUGGAGAAGCCUACGUCGGAUUAGCUAGUUGGUGAGGUAAUGGCUCACCAAGGCGACGAUCCGUAACUGGUCUGAGAGGAUGAUCAGUCACACCGGAACUGAGACACGGUCCGGACUCCUACGGGA